GCUAAACUCAAGCCUACUUGUAGGCUUGGUCUUGGGUGCUGUUCCCCCGGUGAACACGCCUCAAAUGCAAUGGCGACACUGCCUGGCUUCAAGCGUCUAGGAAACUUCACCGCUUUGGAUGCCUGGGACUGUCCGCCCCUCAACCCCAAUAUUUUUCUG
rnacentral:misc_RNA from 1 species